UGGCAUACCAGUAGACCUUGUCUGACUGUGCACGUAGCCAGGCAAGGGGGACAAUGUAUGCAAGAGUAAAUUUGGAGUUCAUGCCAGCUCUAACCAGCUGGAUCAGUAGCUGGAUAAAUUGCCAUACUCCGACAUGA